GUGGUGGCUCAGUGGUAGAGCGCUUGUCUAGCACAUGUGAGGCCCUGGGUUCGAUCCCCAGCACCACA
rnacentral:tRNA from 1 species